AUUAAUUAUGCCCUGCUACCCCGCUGCUCGCGGCGCUGGGCCUGCGCUCUACUCCUGCCACUGGAAAAUCAUCUGCGUGGAUUUCAGCGUAGAACCACGGAAUAUCCCGUGCUGGGAGGGACCAAAGGGAUCACUGAAUCCAGCUCCUGGCUCCACACAGGGCCACCAGAGGCUCAAACCCUAUUUCAGGUACACCUUCAUGUACAGAACGGAUGUGUAGUUCUUUAUCCAGAUCCAACACAUUUUGGGUUGAAAAUCCACCUCACCUCCAGAGGGAGUGUUUUUACUGCAGCAGUUUGCCCUGGAGCAGACCACAUCCAGAGUCCCAUCUUGCUUGGACAAGAGAGCAUUACUUCUAAGCACUCUCCUCACUUGUAGAUGGAGUUAUGGCACGUUUUGUGCCACUGCAAUCCCACGCUGCUGCAAAAGCACUGAAUAACGCCCUCGUCACCCUGAAGAAAGGGAGCUCAGGUGAUGCAGUGAGCAGCUCUGUGAUCUGCUGGGGAGGCCUCACUGAGCAUCACCUCAUUUACACAAGGAGGACAGCUUUGUGUCAGCUUAAGGACAGUACAAAACCUGUGCAAGUUUGCCUUUACUGUGGUUUAACACCACAAACCCCUCAACACACAGAAACAAAUCUCAGUAAAGUAGAUUGCAAGGAAAAGGGAAAGGAUGUGUUAUAGGGCUGUGGAUUCAACAGUUUUGGUAGGAAAUGAUGCUGCAGGAGGAGCAGGGCUGCUAACACAGAGCUGUUCAGUCUCUGCCUGCCUAAGAGGAGCUCAGACUCUUCCCAUGUGCUGGUGCUCUUCGGAAUUAUACUGGCACUUGAGAGAAAGGGUUUUAAAGAAAGGCUUUGACAUACUUCUUCCUUAAAGGUUAGUACCUAAAACGCAGCAAUGGAAGGAGAUCAAAGUGGGCAAGAACUGGUCACAAAGAAGGGAAAGGCAAAAGCCAAAUGGAGCUGGAAAGGGUCAAUGAGCACGAGUGGAACUGAAAGCAGUCACAGCAGACAAUAGCAACUCCUUUGUCAUUUUGCUCUUACUGCAGCACUGGAGGUGGAGAACACAGUGCUUUUCUGCUCUCUGCAGCACAGCCCACAAAGUCGCAGGCUUACUGUGCCCACAGCCUCCAAGUCAACACGCUGUGUAUUUAUGUCAUUAAAGCAACAAGAGGCCACUUCAUUCACGGUAUUUAAGCCUAUACAUUGGAAGUCCCAGGCAGGUUUUGAGUGACAAGGCUCGGUGAGGUUGUUCGGCCAUUGCCUGCUGCAAAAUUCCUCCUGCAUUCCUGGCUGCCUGCUGGGCACAGCCCAUGCCCGAGCUCUGCCUGCUGCGUGUGCUCACCCCUGUCCCCAGACCAGCGUGGUUCCACACCCCGGCUCCCAGCUCCGUAGGAUCAAUGUGCUGAGGGAGCAGUUGUUCAGCACCAGCGCGGCCUUCAGGAUCUUCCCCUCUCCUUGAUACUAAACAGGUGUUAAACGGAGAUUUAAAAACACUUUGAAACCAUCAGCAGUUGGACGAAAACAAUUCAG
ensembl:lncRNA